CCGCCUCUGAGUUCCUAAUUUCCCAUUGGGCAUCAGUGACCACCUUCAAUUGGCAAGGUCAACUAUCCAUCAAACACCGCCCACUGAGUAAGACCCAACCCUUCAGUACCAUUUACUUCAUUCAGCACCGCCUCUGCCAUACCUCCCGGACGUAAGGGACCAACCCACCGUACCAGUCAUAAGUAGAGACCGACGUCAAUCAAAUAACGCCCACCUGCGCUCCUCCUCGCAAAGCACGAACUCUAGAGAUUCUCUUUUCUUAUUGGUCCAAAGGGUGGCCCGAGCCCUCAGUCAUUGGCUUCCUCUACCUGUCUGUCACUGAAGCAAUUUCCAAGUCCGUCACACCGGCUUUUUUUAAAUGAACGCGCAAAAGGCGGGGAAGUUUGUAUCCGAAAAGUGAUUGGCUAGUCUUCGAAACGGUCAAACCCAGGGCGUCUGUGCGGAUCUUUCUCGUUCUGCGAGGACCGUGACCCUUUAUUUUUGACCUCUAAGCCUGGCGUCAAACAAGCGCCAUAAAGGAGCCAACGGGCUGUCCAGUUAUAGGUGUGGGGGCCUAGUCCCACCCGGAAUUGCAGGGGGUUGGCUGCUGAAUGGCUAACAAAGUCCUGGUAGUCCUUCUAUUGGAGGAUAUAAACGCCUCUCUUCUGCACGGAGACGGGAAAGGAUGGCGCAGGCGAGGACAAGAAGCGGUCUGGGGAGAGGCGGUUGUUUUGCUUCAGCCUGAGGGUGGGGCGCACGCGGGAGAGGGAAACUCGGAGGGCAGGGCUCUGGGGGAGGUGUUGUGGGGAGGGGAAAAACCCGGAUGUUCUCUAACAAUGAAAUCAUCGCCGACCAAUCAGAGCUGCUGCGCGGGAUACCUGCUUGACCUGUCCCCAGAAGCGACGAGAAUGAGUUUACGGAGGAAGGCUUCACAAAGAUACAGGAUGAAUCUAGAAUGAAUGAGUCGAUAGGCAGGUGAGGGAAGUGGACAUGAUUCCUUCAGCAAUCGAAUUAGACUAAAAGGUGCUGGCAGGUAAUUCCUCAAAAAAGAAAUAAAACUAAUGUGUUAUGAAGGCAGACAAUUUAAGCUAAGACCCAACAGAGUGUUAUUGAGCUGAGGGGCUGUGGG
rnacentral:lncRNA from 1 species